CGACCAGAGCAAAAAGGGACCAAGGAGAAACCCUAAGUUCAUAAAAUUCUCAAAAUCGGAAGGAGUUUAAGAGCCCAAACAGAUGCAUGAACCCAAAACUUGAAUAAUCUAAGCUUGUUCAACGAUUGGUGUUAAGGAAGAAAGUUCAAGUCAAGCGAAGCAACAAGGGAAUCAAGAUCGAGGUAAAACUCAAGUUUAGGUGGUUAUGCUUCGCUUGGAUCGAACACACUUUGUAUGCCGUUCGUGCGCU